CGUGGGGAGCAAACGGGAUUAGAUCCCCCGGUAGUCCCCGCCGUAAACGAUGUCUACGUGAAGCGCGGACCCGAGGUGCGGUUUUUCAAAUCUAACGCAUUAAGUAGAACGCCUGGGGAGUACGGCCGCAAGGUUAAAACUCAAAUGAAUUGACGGGGGCCCGCACAAGCGGUGGAGCAUGUGGUUUAAUUCGAUGCAACGCGAAGAACCUUACCUACACUUGACAUACAGAGAACUUACCAGAGAUGGUUUGGUGCCUUCGGGAACUCUGAUACAGGUGCUGCAUGGCUGUCGUCAGCUCGUGUUGUGAGAUGUUGGGUUAAGUCCCGCAACGAGCGCAACCCCUAUCCUUAGUUGCUAGCAGGUAAUGCAGAGAACUCUAAGGAGACUGCCGGUGAUAACCCGGAGGAAGGUGGGGACGACGGCAAGUCAUCAUGGCCCUAACGUGUCGGGCUACCCCCGAGCU
rnacentral:rRNA from 1 species